CAGUUGCUGUAGCAACUGUCUUCCGCUCCUCUGUGGUAAUGCCCGUCAUACUCCCGCCCUGGACCAUGAGAAGAAACUGCCACAAACUCACCCCGCGAUUUGACGGAAGGUGGAGAGAGUGCGGGCAAGCCUAACCCGGAAGGAAUGUCUUAUGCACAAAUGGCGGCAGAGUCCGCCAUUACCACCUUCCCUGGCAGGGAAUUCCACAUCCUGAUUGUCUUAACAGUGAAGAACCCUUUCCUCCGUUGCAUUUGGAACUUUCUCUCCUCCAGUCACAGCGAGUGCCCACGUGUCCUAA